rnacentral:rRNA from 1 species
GAGGAUUAUACUGUCUCCCCCCCUAAAUCAAUGAAACUGAUCCCCCCGUGAAGAAGCGGGGAUAAAUAUAUAAGACGAGAAGACCCUAUGGAGCUUUAGACUCAACACCACUUACCUCAGCUGAUCCCCUUACAAACAGGUAAAGAUCGUGUAUGUUUUCAGUUGGGGUGACUGCGGAGCAAAAUAAAACCUCCACGAUGAAAAAUAACCUCUAAUCCAAGAACAACAUUUCAAAGAAUCAACAAAUUGACAUCAAUUGACCCAAAUAAUAAUUUGAUCAACGAACCAAGUUACCCUAGGGAUAACAGCGCAAUCCAUUUCAAGAGCUCAUAUCGACAAAUG